AGAGUUUGAUCAUGGCUCAGAUUGAACGCUGGCGGCAGGCCUAACACAUGCAAGUCGAACGGUAACAGGAAACAGCUUGCUGUUUCGCUGACGAGUGGCGGACGGGUGAGUAAUGUCUGGGAAACUGCCUGAUGGAGGGGGAUAACUACUGGAAACGGUAGCUAAUACCGCAUAACGUCGCAAGACCAAAGAGGGGGACCCUCGGGCCUCUUGCCAUCGGAUGUGCCCAGAUAGGAUUAGCUUGUUGGUGGGGUAGCGGCUCACCAAGGCGACGAUCCCUAGCUGGUCUGAGAGGAUGACCAGCCACACUGGAACUGAGACACGGUCCAGACUCCUACGGGAGGCAGCAGUGGGGAAUAUUGCACAAUGGGCGCAAGCCUGAUGCAGCCAUGCCGUGUGUAUGAAGAAGGCCUUCGGGUUGUAAAGUACUUUCAGCGGGGAGGAAGGGAGUAAAGUUAAUACCUUUGCUCAUUGACGUUACCCGCAGAAGAAGCACCGGCUAACUCCGUGCCAGCAGCCACGGUAAUACGGAGGGUGCAAGCGUUAAUCGGAAUUACUGGGCGUAAAGCGCACGCAGGCGGUUUGUUAAGUCAGAUGUGAAAUCCCCGGGCUCAACCUGGGAACUGCAUCUGAUACUGGCAAGCUUGAGUCUCGUAGAGGGGGGUAGAAUUCCAGGUUUAGCGGUGAAAUGCGUAGAGAUCUGGAGGAAUACCGGUGGCGAAGGCGGCCCCCUGGACGAAGACUGACGCUCAGGUGCGAAAGCGUGGGGAGCAAACAGGAUUAGAUACCCUGGUAGUCCACGCCGUAAACGAUGUCGACUUGGAGGUUGUGCCCUUGAGGCGUGGCUUCCGGAGCUAACGCGUUAAGUCGACCGCCUGGGGAGUACGGCCGCAAGGUUAAAACUCAAAUGAAUUAACGGGGGCCCGCACAAGCGGUGGAGCAUGUGGUUUAAUUCGAUGCAACGCGAAGAACCUUACCUGGUCUUGACAUCCACGGAAGUUUUCAGAGAUGAGAAUGUGCCUUCGGGAACCGUGAGACAGGUGCUGCAUGGCUGUCGUCAGCUCGUGUUGUGAAAUGUUGGGUUAAGUCCCGCAACGAGCGCAACCCUUAUCCUUUGUUGCCAGCGGUCCGGCCGGGAACUCAAAGGAGACUGCCAGUGAUAAACUGGAGGAAGGUGGGGAUGACGUCAAGUCAUCAUGGCCCUUACGACCAGGGCUACACACGUGCUACAAUGGCGCAUACAAAGAGAAGCGACCUCGCGAGAGCAAGCGGACCUCAUAAAGUGCGUCGUAGUCCGGAUUGGAGUCUGCAACUCGACUCCAUGAAGUCGGAAUCGCUAGUAAUCGUGGAUCAGAAUGCCACGGUGAAUACGUUCCCGGGCCUUGUACACACCGCCCGUCACCAUGGGAGUGGGUUGCAAAAGAAGUAGGUAGCUUAACCUUCGGGAGGGCGCUUACCACUUUGUGAUUCAUGACUGGGGUGAAGUCGUAACAAGGUAACCGUAGGGGAACC
rnacentral:rRNA from 1 species